GCAUACGUCCUACGGGAGAAAGCAGGGGACCUUCGGGCCUUGCGCUAUCAGAUGAGCCUAGGUCGGAUUAGCUAGUUGGUGAGGUAAUGGCUCACCAAGGCGACGAUCCGUAACUGGUCUGAGAGGAUGAUCAGUCACACUGGAACUGAGACACGGUCCAGACUCCUACGGGAGGCAGCAGUGGGGAAUAUUGGACAAUGGGCGAAAGCCUGAUCCAGCCAAGGCGCGUGUGUGAAGAAGGUCUUCGGAUGUAAA
rnacentral:rRNA from 1 species